UACGGGGGGAGCAAGCGUUGUUCGGAUUUACUGGGCGUAAAGGGCGCGUAGGCGGCGCAACAAGUCACUUGUGAAAUCUUCAGGCUUAACCUGAAGCGGCCAAGUGAUACUGUCGUGCUAGAGUGCGGAAGGGGCAACUGGAAUUCUUGGUGUAGCGGUGAAAUGCGUAGAUAUCAAGAGGAACACCGGUGGCGAAGGCGGGUCUCUGGGCCGAUACUGACGCUGAGGAGCGAAAGCGUGGGGAGCGAACAGG
rnacentral:rRNA from 1 species